AGCAGGUCCCAAGGGUAUGGCUGUUCGCCAUUUAAAGUGGUACGCGAGCUGGGUUUAGAACGUCGUGAGACAGUUCGGUCCCUAUCUACCGUGGGCGUUGGAGACUUGAGGGAAGCUGUUCUUAGUACGAGAGGACCGGAAUGGACACACCUCUGGUGUUUCGGUUAUGACGCCAGUCGUAUUGCCGAGUAGCUAUGUGUGGAAAGGAUAACCGCUGAAAGCAUCUAAGCGGGAAGCCCCUCCCAAGAUUAGGUCUCCCUGACAGUUUAACUGUCCUAAAGAUCCCUCGGAGACUACGAGGUUGAUAGGCACGGUGUGGAAGAGUAGUGAUACUUGAAGCUAACGUGUACUAAUUGAUCGUGAGGCUUGACCAUAUAACACCCAA
rnacentral:rRNA from 1 species